GUGCAUUUGGACUCUCUAAUAUUUUGCCCUAAAAAAUUAUAUGGGUAGUGGUAGAUAUUUAACAAUUCGCCCCUAAUUUAGUGCCCUAAAAAAAAUCAAAAAAAAAAAAAAAAAUCGCAAGACUUACCUCAACUUGUGUCCAAAUAGCAAUGGAGUGACCGGAGUUGCAAUGGAGCAAAGAUGGCGGUGACAGGCAGGCUGGAGCGGCGUCAGGAUGGACUGGAGUGGCGCUAUGAACGGAGGAGAGGAGAGGAGGAGGAGAAGAAAGAAAGAAGAAAGAAGAAGGAGGGCGUCUGGCAUUUAAAGCCCUAAAAUUUGCGACCGACUGGUCGGUCGCAAAUGUCCUUAAUAUCGGUCGCAAUUUUUUAACUCGGCAACGUCGUUUUACUUCGCAAUACAAUUGCGACCGAUUUGCGAGUCGCAAAAAAUCGGUCGCAAAUCAGUCACAAAUCGGUCUCAGAACUUAUUCCUAAUUUUGAAGCGCGCAAUUUUGCGACGGAAAAAACGAUGUCGCAAAUCGGUC
rnacentral:lncRNA from 1 species